rnacentral:rRNA from 1 species
GGAAUAAGGUCGAGGCGGAGAGCCAGAGCCCCAGCACCCGAUCCGCCGUCCCGCCGCCGCAGGAAGGACGCGGAGUGGAGGGACUGGGCGGCGCUGCCCCGCGACGUCCUGUGGGUCAUCCUGAGCCUUGUCCCGCAAGCCGACGUCCUCCGCGGUGCCGGCCGCGCGUGCGCCUCGUGGCGGCGGCUGGCCCUCGACGAGCCGCUGCUAUGGCGGCAUAUCGACCUCGCCGCUGACGAGGACGCGGACCCAGACCCACCGUCGGGCUGGCAGGCGAUGGCGCGUGCCGCCGUGCGGCGCAGCGCCGGCCGCUGCGAGUCCUUCCGCGGCCGCGUCAGCAGCACCUUCCUGCUCUUCCUCGCCCGCAAGUACGCACGCACGCGAGCCGAUCGAUCGUAUGAACCUCUCCUAAACCCGAGAUCCCGACUGAUAAUCCGCCAUGUUUCUUAUCAACAGGGCGCCAUUGCUGCGGAGCCUCCACGUGACGUGCUGGUACGACAUGGCGAGCAGGCACUUCAUCCACGCGGUGGCGAAGAAGCUCCCUGA